UACGAAGGGGGCUAGCGUUGUUCGGAAUCACUGGGCGUAAAGCGCACGUAGGCGGAUCUUUAAGUCCGGGGUGAAAUCCCGAGGCUCAACCUCGGAACUGCCUUUGAUACUGGGGAUCUCGAGUCCGGGAGAGGUGAGUGGAACUGCGAGUGUAGAGGUGAAAUUCGUAGAUAUUCGCAAGAACACCAGUGGCGAAGGCGGCUCACUGGCCCGGAACUGACGCUGAGGUGCGAAAGCGUGGAGAGCAAACAGG
rnacentral:rRNA from 1 species